rnacentral:rRNA from 1 species
AUUGAACGCUGGCGGCAUGCCUUACACAUGCAAGUCGAACGGUAACAGGUCUUCGGAUGCUGACGAGUGGCGAACGGGUGAGUAAUACAUCGGAACGUGCCCGAUCGUGGGGGAUAACGAGGCGAAAGCUUUGCUAAUACCGCAUACGAUCUACGGAUGAAAGCGGGGGAUCUUCGGACCUCGCGCGGACGGAGCGGCCGAUGGCAGAUUAGGUAGUUGGUGGGAUAAAAGCUUACCAAGCCGACGGUCUGUAGCUGGUCUGAGAGGAUGAUCAGCCACACUGGGACUGAGACACGGCCCAGACUCCUACGGGAGGCAGCAGUGGGGAAUUUUGGACAAUGGGCGAAAGCCUGAUCCAGCCAUGCCGCGUGCAGGAUGAAGGCCUUCGGGUUGUAAACUGCUUUUGUACGGAACGAAAAGCCUCUUUCUAAUAAAGAGGGGUCAUGACGGUACCGUAAGAAUAAGCACCGGCUAACUACGUGCCAGCAGCCGCGGUAA